AUUUCUGUAACUUCUAAUUUCGCAAAAACCUCGAAAAGAGAUCCCCAAAAUCAACCAAAAAGACCGAAGCUGUUAACUUACAUAUGUGCCCUUAAUUAUGAAAGUGGACUAAGUCACUCCUAAAAAUGGCAUCAAAUUUAGCCUAAAAAUAAUUAUUAUUUAAGGGGUAAAGUUGAUUUGAAAGCGAAAUUGCAGCAAAUAGACUUCUUUAUUGCUCCUCUAGUGAUUUCAUAAAAGAAAUAUAAUUAAAUCGUUAUAAGAAAAUUAUUAUGUUUUCGAAAUCCGUUUUUAAGGUCAUAACUGUUAUGCCGAAAUAAGAAGCUCUCACUCAGUCCAAAGUUAUGAGGUAAAAAGAUUUAUGAAUCCCUUAAGCCUUAAUAUAUGAGAGCUUGUAAAAUACCAGCCCUAGAGUAGACAAAAAACCUUUUUUGAAUAGAAUUAAGCGUCGAAAUCUUAUCUCAUAAGAUAAGAUCAAAGGCAUUUGGAUCUCUUUGCCAGCAGACCACAACCGAAGAAGAAACGAAAAUCUCGUACAGCCUUUACAAAUCAUCAGAUUUUUGAGCUCGAAAAGCGAUUCCUCUAUCAAAAGUACUUGUCACCAGCCGAUCGAGAUGAGAUUGCCUCAUCCUUGGGACUCUCCAAUGCCCAGGUCAUUACUUGGUUCCAAAACCGCAGAGCCAAACUGAAGCGAGACAUUGAAGAACUGAAGAAAGACGUGGAAACCGUGAAGACACUAGACGACCCGAUCGAGAGGAGGAUGACACCAUCAUCAUCAGCAGCAGGGGCUAGCAACAGCGGACGUCAGCAGGAUCAAAGGAAGAAAGAAGCUAAGAAUGACCUUGCCAUGCUGAAGCGAAUGACAUUGAUGUACUAUAGCAAUAGUAAUGCUGAACUUGGAUAGAAAAGAAGACCACAUGCGAA